CCCCCACUGUAGAUGCCGCCAGCACUCCGCCACAGCUGACACCUCGGGGGCUCUCUCCCAGAGUAGAAAUGACCCCUCACCUUCUCUGCUUUGGAAAGAAAAAGAGAAAAAAAAUAAACCUGCAUGCAUGCAGAUCACACACCUGGAUUCCAUUAUCUCUCUGACUUCCAGCCCAGGGAACCAAGGAAGCCCAGAAUCUUUGAGUCACAUCCUCUUCCUCUUCUCUGCGGAACCCAGUGGGGCUCUCUCACCAGGAGGAGGGGGUUGAGGUUUCAGAUUAAACGCCACCCACCACGUCUACCCUCUAAUGCCUUUCCUGGCUCCAUAAAGUAGGUCAGAUCACUUUGCUCUUUUUCCCCGUAACAUCUUGUGCCUUCACUGAUGUCAACUUUCAACACAAUCUAUCGUAAGCCCUUGUACCAUGUCUGCAAAUUUGGAAAGAUGAGGAUGGUGUCAACUCUUACACCUGGUGGCACAUAUUGCAGAGAACAGCAUGGGUGACACACUUCACUGGACAAAAAAUGGAAGGGCAUGACUGAACCUUUAUUGGAACAAAAUAUGGGCUCAGCCAGCUGCGGUGGCUCAUGCCUGUAAUCCCAACAGUUUGGGAGGCCCAGUCAGGUGGAUCACCUGAG